rnacentral:ncRNA from 13 species
GCUUUCCUUGUCAUGGGGUGGUUGGGAAACUCAAUGAACGUAUAGUGAGAGCUUCCCUGCUAACACCAUAAUCGACACACACACGCGCCACCCGGACCUUGAGUCCGGACCACGGCGCAAUUUUUGGAA